GAUGAACGCUAGCGGGAGGCCUAACACAUGCAAGCCGAGCGGUAUUGUUUCUUCGGAAAUGAGAGAGCGGCGUACGGGUGCGGAACACGUGUGCAACCUGCCUUUAUCUGGGGGAUAGCCUUUCGAAAGGAAGAUUAAUACUCCAUAAUAUAUUGAACGGCAUCGUUUAAUAUUGAAAGCUCCGGCGGAUAGAGAUGGGCACGCGCAAGAUUAGCUAGUUGGUGAGGUAACGGCUCACCAAGGCAAUGAUCUUUAGGGGGCCUGAGAGGGUGAUCCCCCAGACUGGUACUGAGACACGGACCAGACUCCUACGGGAGGCAGCAGUGAGGAAUAUUGGUCAAUGGGUGCAAGCCUGAACCAGCCAUCCCGCGUGAAGGACGACUGCCCUAUGGGUUGUAAACUUCUUUUGUAUAGGGAUAAACCUUCCCACGUGUGGGAAGCUGAAGGUACUAUACGAAUAAGCACCGGCUAACUCCGUGCCAGCCGCCGCUGUAAGAC
rnacentral:rRNA from 1 species